AUGAACGCUGGCGGCGUGCCUAAUACAUGCAAGUCGAGCGCACAGAUGAGGAGCUUGCUCCUCUGACGUUAGCGGCGGACGGGUGAGUAACACGUGGAUAACCUACCUAUAAGACUGGGAUAACUUCGGGAAACCGGAGCUAAUACCGGAUAAUAUAUUGAACCGCAUGGUUCAAUAGUGAAAGACGGUUUUGCUGUCACUUAUAGAUGGAUCCGCGCCGCAUUAGCUAGUUGGUAAGGUAACGGCUUACCAAGGCAACGAUGCGUAGCCGACCUGAGAGGGUGAUCGGCCACACUGGAACUGAGACACGGUCCAGACUCCUACGGGAGGCAGCAGUAGGGAAUCUUCCGCAAUGGGCGAAAGCCUGACGGAGCAACGCCGCGUGAGUGAUGAAGGUCUUCGGAUCGUAAAACUCUGUUAUUAGGGAAGAACAAAUGUGUAAGUAACUAUGCACGUCUUGACGGUACCUAAUCAGAAAGCCACGGCUAACUACG
rnacentral:rRNA from 1 species